rnacentral:rRNA from 1 species
GGGCACGUGGCGGCGUGCUUACACAUGCAAGUCGAACGAUGAACAGGAGCUUGCUUCUGGGAUUAGUGGCGAACGGGUGAGUAACACGUGAGUAACCUGCCCUUGACUCUGGGAUAAGCGUUGGAAACGACGUCUAAUACCGGAUAUGACCCCUACCGGCAUCGGUUGGGGGUGGAAAGAUUUUUUGGUCAAGGAUGGACUCGCGGCCUAUCAGGUAGUUGGUGAGGUAAUGGCUCACCAAGCCGACGACGGGUAGCCGGCCUGAGAGGGUGACCGGCCACACUGGGACUGAGACACGGCCCAGACUCCUACGGGAGGCAGCAGUGGGGAAUAUUGCACAAUGGGCGAAAGCCUGAUGCAGCAACGCCGCGUGAGGGACGACGGCCUUCGGGUUGUAAACCUCUUUUAGUAGGGAAGAAGGGAGCUUGCUCUUGACGGUACCUGCAGAAAAAGCACCGGCUAACUACGUGCCAGCAGCCGCGGUAAUACGUAGGGUGCAAGCGUUGUCCGGAAUUAUUGGGCGUAAAGAGCUCGUAGGCGGUUUGUCGCGUCUGCUGUGAAAUCUGGGGGCUCAACCCCCAGCCUGCAGUGGGUACGGGCAGACUAGAGUGCGGUAGGGGAGAUUGGAAUUCCUGGUGUAGCGGUGGAAUGCGCAGAUAUCAGGAGGAACACCGAUGGCGAAGGCAGAUCUCUGGGCCGUAACUGACGCUGAGGAGCGAAAGCAUGGGGAGCGAACAGGAUUAGAUACCCUGGUAGUCCAUGCCGUAAACGUUGGGAACUAGAUGUAGGGGCCAUUCCACGGUUUCUGUGUCGCAGCUAACGCAUUAAGUUCCCCGCCUGGGGAGUACGGCCGCAAGGCUAAAACUCAAAGGAAUUGACGGGGGGCCCGCACAAGCCGGCGGAGCAUGGCGGAUUAAUUUCGAUGCCACCGCGAAAGAACCUUAACCAAGGCUUGGACAUUUUACCGGAAAACGUCCAGAAGAUGGUUCGCCCCGCCAAGGCCCGGUAUACCAGGUGGUUCAAUGGGUUGC